AUCUCUUUUGUCUUCUUCAAGGUUAUCACUGCUCUCUUCUUACCACUUUAAUAUCUGAUACGUCCUCUGUCUGAGGACAAUAUAUUAAAUGGAUUUUUGGAGCAGGGAGAUGGAAUAGGAGCUUGCUCCAUCCGCUCCACGCAUAGACCUGGUAUUGCAGUACCUCCAGGAUCGUUGCUCUGUUG